rnacentral:rRNA from 1 species
CCUGAUUUAGCGGCGGACGGGUGAGUAAUGCGUAGGAAGCUGCCCGAUAGAGGGGGAUACCAGUUGGAAACGACUGUUAAUACCGCAUAAUGUCUACGGACCAAAGUAUGGGACCUUCGGGCCAUACACUAUCGGAUGCGCCUACGUGGGAUUAGCUAGUUGGUGUGGUAAUGGCGCACCAAGGCGACGAUCCCUAGCUGGUUUGAGAGGAUGAUCAGCCACACUGGGACUGAGACACGGCCCAGACUCCUACGGGAGGCAGCAGUGGGGAAUAUUGGACAAUGGGCGCAAGCCUGAUCCAGCCAUGCCGCGUGUGUGAAGAAGGCCUUUUGGUUGUAAAGCACUUUAAGCAGUGAAGAAGACUCUUCGGUUAAUACCCGGAGACGAUGACAUUAGCUGCAGAAUAAGCACCGGCUAACUCUGUGCCAGCAGCCGCGGUAAUACAGAGGGUGCAAGCGUUAAUCGGAAUUACUGGGCGUAAAGGGAGCGUAGGUGGCUCGAUAAGUCAGAUGUGAAAUCCCCGGGCUCAACCUGGGA